AAACGGUUUUAUUUAGCUCACCCAGUUUGUUUUAUUUAUUAUUUAUUCAUUCUUUCUUGGGUCAAAUUUAGUAAUUCAAAUUUCACCCUCUUCCUGUCAACCGAUUAAUCUGAAAUUUUGUAUACACCUUUAAUUCCGAUGACAAUACAAUAUAGUAAUAUCAAUAACAUUGUAAAUCCAAUAUGGCCGCCGGCACAAAAUGGCGGAUAACGUAGAUUUUAUCAAUCCCAUCAAUAUGGGUAUCAAAUGAAAGGGCUCAACAAGCAGAAUACAAUAUACUAUAAAAAAUUGAAAUCCAAGAUGGCGGCCGCUACAAAAUGGCGGAUAACGUAGGUUUUAUCAAUCCCAUCAAUAUGGGUAUCAAAUGAAAGUUCUCAACCAGUAGAAUACAAUGUACUAUAUAAAAUUAAAAUCCAAGAUGGCGGCCUCUACAAAAUGGCGGAUAACUUAGGUUCAUUUGAUACCCAUGUUGAUGGGUCUCAACAAGUAGAAUACAAUUUACUAUGCAAAAUUGAAAUCUAAGAUGGCCGCCGCUACCAAAUGGCUGAUAACAAUUUUUUAUCAAUCCCACCAAUAUGGGUAUCAAAUGAAAGGGCUUCACAAGUAGAAAACUGUCAGUAACUCCAGCGGGGCCCAACAGGGCCAAGGCCUGCCUGGGCUGCGAGAUUGUUCGAAAGAGUUACCACGGCCCUGGUACAUAAAAGGCCUACGACGGAACAAAACGGUUCUUAGUCAAGAGUCUGGCACUCCCUCACCGCUGCUGACCCACAGCAGGAGAGGUCAUGUGAUGAUUUUUGGGGUCGUUAAAAAAAAAAGUAUCUGGAAGGGCUAUGUAUUGAGGAAUUAGAUUGUAAUAAGUUGUCAGGUAAGAGACCGUGUAAUAAUGAUGCACUAAAUGAAUUAGAUAGAAUGAGGAAUAUUCGGUAGGCAUUUUCAUUAAAUACUAAAAACUAGAAAAUAAAAAAACGGUAAAAAAACUUUUAAGUUAAACGGUUUUAUCUUAUGUGCACUGAAAACUAGAAAAUAAAAAAAUCGGUAAAAAAACUUUUAAGUUAAACGGUUUUAUCUUAUGUGCACUGAAAACUAGAAAAUAAAAAAAUAGUUA
rnacentral:lncRNA from 1 species